rnacentral:rRNA from 1 species
CGGGUGAGUAACGCGUAUGCGACCUGCCCGUUGCAGGGGGGAUAAUCGGGAGAAAUCCCGUCUAAUAUCGCGUAACGCCGCGGGGCUGCAUGGCCCUGCGGCCAAAGGGAGCGAUUCCGGCAACGGAUGGGCAUGCGUGACAUUAGCUAGUUGGCGGGGCAACGGCCCACCAAGGCGACGAUGUCUAGGGGUUCUGAGAGGAAGGUCCCCCACACUGGUACUGAGACACGGACCAGACUCCUACGGAAGGCAGCAG